CUUUCUUGUUCUUAUGUGGAGUUUAUGUUGUGCCGGCUGACUGGUUAUUUCUUGUCAUUAAUGAUUAAUGUUCUCCUAGGAUAUUAGUGUUGUUCACUGCUGACACUGUAAUGGAGUGGAACAAACACUAAGGGCUUACAGAGUCUGUUUAUCACCACCCUUCUGUGCAUGAGGACCACAUAGCAAAAUGUCAUCCCUUUCCCUUAUAAUGCCUGGGGCAUAAUGGACUGUUUACAGUUAUCCAUGGAAAAGCAGUCUGUCCUCCUGCUGUAAUGGUCUCUGUCACAGAACACAUCAUAGAAGUUGUCAAACAAGGGUUGGAUCCCAUGCUGAGAGGCUUAUUCAACUGUGAAACAAGGUCCUGUCAUCCCCAGCUAACCAUACGCAUCGUUAACAGAGUGAGCUGCUUGCUGACAAAUGAGUUCGGCUCGCACAGCAAGA